AUGGGGUACCAGGAGGACAUGCUGGCUUAUAAUUUCCUCCGGAGGACAACCAGAGAUGGUUUCUAUGUCGGCGGAUUGCUGGAAUUAAGCAAAAAAAAAUUUGAAGGUAACCACGUGUUCAUAGCUCAAAACAGUUACAGCGCACACACGCAGCACACACUAGAAGGACCCAGAAACACAUGUGUCCUUGGAACUUUGCACAAAAGACCCCCCAAAAUACAAAAGUACAACCCAGUCCUUGGAGGCCCUUGCACACAACAUCUUCAACACGCGUCUCCAUCCGCCGUCGCCGCCAAAGCACUGCCGGAGGAUGGGAAGACAGGCUGCCAACAAACCCGAAUCCGCCGAAGCACCAUCGCUGGAGCAGCUUUGUGA
rnacentral:rRNA from 1 species